AGAACUCGGCUAGAUUGACAGUCCCUGGAGGAGCUAGCGUGGCAUGCAGCACUGCUAAAGCUGUUGAGUGGGAUGUUGCCUGGAAGAACAACCUUGAUCCUUCAGGGAGGGCUGCCCUGGGAGUCCACCUCUCGGCUUACGAUGCAGAGGCUCCUCUCAUCAGCAACGUGCCAUCCAAGGUUAUCGAUAGUAUACCACGGAUGGUGGAAGUUCCAGGAGUUGCCAUACACACUUAGUACCUGCCUGCCUACUGGAGAGGGAUCGGAAUCAAUGAAAUCAAUAAGUGAUAGUAGUAUGUUGUGGCAUAUUCAUCAAAAUUCUCAUUUACUAAAAUACUUUAUGAUUGUUUGGAUCUUCCAUUCUUGUUGUUGCUUAUGUUUGAAUGUGUGUAACUGUUAUCAUGGAAGUCAAUCAGAUAUUUGAAUGUUUGUAACCAAAUAUGUUGUCUCCACUGGUUUAAUGGAGCAUUAACAAGUCUAGAUUCUAAACAUCAAUAUCAGACAUGAGCUAAGGAACCAUACAAGUAUCGAGGUGAUCGAGGAAGUUUCUAGUUGAAUUUGAAAGGGAAGAUUUAUGCAAGGAACUGAAAUCAUUAGUGUUGGAUUGGGACCAAGUUGAGCAUGAGCCAGUGUUGGGCUUGGACCUCUAAUCCCUAAGACUGGCCCACCAAUUUUCAUUUUUACUUUUUUGAAUUUUAAUUGAUUAAUUAGAUAAACGCCAACUGGUUAUAACCACCAAAAUUUUCUUUUGAAAAUAUUAAGUUUUAAUUGGAUUUAUUAAGUUGUUUUGAAGAAUUAAUUAUAUUUAUAAUUAUCCAAAUCCCACAAUUAAUAUUAUUAAGUUCCUUUUGAAAAUAUAUGCAAAUAUGCAAACGAGUGAAAUUGUGAUUAUAACUAAUGAAUUAUAGUUUAAAUUCUUCUAUUAGAUCCUAUACUUUGUAAAUAUUCUAGAUUUAGUACAUGUAAUUUAAUUUGAUUAAUUUUAGUCAUUAUACUUUCCGAAUUUUGAAAUUUUAGUCUUGAUCCAAUGGUAAUAAUUAAAUCAUUAGUAUUGUAUUAUGCAUAAUGUUAUAGAUUUAAUUUAGGUUCACCAAUUAGAUCAUUCUUAGUGACUAUAUUUUUUAAAUUUCAAAAUUUAGUCUUAAUGCAAACGAUAGACAUUAAAUCUAUUAACUGAUUUUUUAUGAAUAAUAUGUGAAAAUAACAAAUAUACAUAGCAACACAUGUGGUAAUAUGUUUGAGACAUCAAUUUUUAAAAAUAACAAAACUUAAUGAAUUUAAUGUUAUAAUUUGGUUAGUGUUAAAAUUUUCAAAUUCUAAAAGUAUAAGGACUGAAAAUGUAACACCCUUUGUAAUACCCCCUACCCGUAUUCAUUGCCAGAAUAAGGUACGAGGUAUUACCGGAGUUUACGAUUUUUUUUAUAUAUUCAAUAUAGCCCCUUUAUAAAUAUCUAACAUUGCCUGCAAUAUUAAAUCAAGACCAAAAAUAAUCCACAUCAACCAAUCCAAUUCAACAUAUUUUCAAGAUAGGUUAACGCAUAUAUAUUUACGCAUAUUUAUAAGAUAACAUCAUCGCAUACCAAAACCAAGAUUUGUUAGCCAUACCAUUGGUUGACCUUACAUUCAUUUCACAGAAUCAUUUACUUUAUCAGCUUAUACAUGCCAUUGAUUUCCAAAAUAAAGUUUUUUUUAUAUACCGAAAUCCUGAGGUUGAUAGUGUGAUGUGUCUCCGACCAAAUCCGACCUCCGAGCUCUUAACACUACAAAACAGGGGAAAAGGAAACAGGGUAAGCACUUUGUGCUUAGUAAGCUCAUGUAACAAGAAUUAUACUUACCUAAUAUUUUCAAUACAAUACAAUAAACAUUCAUAUAUCCAUUCAAUGCAUUAUUACCCUAACAUGCACAAACUCAACAUUCAAGUUAGUACAAUAAUUUCCAUAUACCAAUAAUAUAUACUAUGAUUGAUGAGCUCAUCAAUACCAUGAUUUCCAUUUCCUUGUUAUUUUUCCAUAUUUAUCCUGUUGAAUUUAUCGGAAUUUCGAUGGAUUUUCAGAGGUACACUUUUAGUUUACAAUUCUGGGUCCGUCAAUUCAUAUUCAUGUGCGCACAUUUCCAUUUCAGAGAGUACACUCCCGCGAACCUCAACCUUGCAGCGGGAUUACCAGUCCAGGCUAAAUCCCCUGUAAUAUAAUCUCAUAGAGUAUUGUCGGGAUUACUAGUCCAGACUAAAUCCCCUGCAACGACAAUUACUUUAAUGAGCUUGGAUCUGAAUUACCAGUCCAGGCUAAAUUCAGACCCUAAUUCGGAUUACCCGUCCGGGCUAAAUCCAUUUUACACAUAUUCUUCGGGAGGGCUAUAUCAGGAUAGGAUCACCCGUCCGGGCUAGAUCCUUUUUACUAUCAAUCCUUUUCAGAGAUCCAUCGAAUUUUCCUUUCAUUCAACCGGGAUUUCUUCCCAUUUUAUCAAAUAUAUCAAUGUUUCAUUAAUUUUCAUACAAUGAACUUUAAAAUCAUAUUCACAUCAAUAACAUACAAUCUCAAGCAUUUAAGAAUAUAAUUCAAGUUACACGAACUUACCUUGAUACUUGUUCGUGUAUAAAAAUCUACUAAUCCUGAACUUUUUCCUUUCCUUGAUCUAGCUUCGUAUUUGAAUCUUCUGGAUCUAAAUAAAUAAAUUUAAUUAUCAAUUUAAUACAUUUCAUGUUCAUAUGCAACAAUUUCUAUAAUUUUAUUAUUAUUAUUUAUAGUUUAUUUAAAGCUGUCUAUUUGAGUCAUAGUCACUAAAUUAUUUAUAACUCGAGCUACAUAACUCCAAAUUAAGAUCCGUUAAGUUUCCCUGAAACUAGACUCAUAUAUCUUCUUACCAUAAAGUUUUCAGAAUUUUUGGUGUAGCCAAUAAGUACAGUUUAUUCUUUAAAUUCACCCCUAUUGUAACGCCCCGUACCCGAGACCAUCACCGGAGUCGAACACGAGGUGUUAACAGACUUAAUUCAUUACUUAAACAGCUAAAAUAAUUUAUUUUUAAAAUUUCCAGUUCAACUAGCAAUCUGCAUCAUAGUCGCUUAAAAAUUCAUAUCUCGAGUUACAAAACUCGAAAUCCAAUUCCGUCAAUUUUCCCUUAAAAUAGACUCAUUUAUCUAUUUACUAUUUUUUUAUAGAAUUUUUGGUCGAGCCAAUUAGUACAAUUUAUUAGUUAAAAGUCUCCCCUGUUUCAGGAUUCGACUGCUCUGACCUCUGUGUAUUACGAAUCAGAUAUCUAUCCGUACAGAAUUUCAAUGACUAUGAAGUUUGUUUCUCUUAAAACUAGACUCAAUAAGGAAUCUGUACAUAUAAAGAAUUACUUCUAAUUAUAUUUGUACAAUUUAUGAUAAAUUUUUAAAGUCAGAACAGGGGAUCCAGAAAUCACUCUGGCCCUGUUUCACAAAAAUUCAAAUAUCUCAUAAAAUAUAAUUCAUAUACCUGUUUUGUUCAAUCCAUAUGAAAAUAGACUCAUUAAGAUUCAAUUUCAUAACAUACUCAUCAUUUAAUUCCAUUUCUACUAUUUUUAGUGAUUUUUCAAAUUUACAUCACUGCUGCUGUUAGAAUCUAUUUUAUGGUAAAUUUUACCUAUUUCAUGGUUUCCAUGGAUUAGCUAGCAAUUUGACAUACAUAACACCAAAUAUGAUCAUGAUUAGCCAUUCCAAUGGCUAAUCAUUACUAAGCAUUUCCAUACCACUCAAUAACCAUAUCAUAAGACCAUAUAUACAAAAUGAUUAUAAUGCUAUACAUGCCAUACUCAAAAUAUACAAGCCAUUAUGCCAAGAUGGUAUACAGAUAGUGUGAGCGAACCUCCGACCGUUCCCGAUUUCCGAGCUGGCUUGUCAAAACUAUAAGGAAUGAAAAGGAUGGAGUAAGCAUAAAUGCUUAGUAAGUUCACAUGCAAAUAGCAAGUAACAUAACCAUAUAAGCAAACAUAAAACAUCAUUUGCAUAAUCAUCACCAAGUUACCGAGACUCCAAAAAUGUAAAAAUCAUUAAAAACGAGGCUAGAACGGACUUACAAUCGAGCUUGGAAGCUUGAAAAACCCUAGCCAUGGUUUCUCCUUGCUAUAUUCGACCAUGGGGUUGAAGAUGAGCAAAAUUGGCUUUUAAUUUUGUAUUUUAAUUCAUUUUACCCCUAAAUGACGAAAAUGCCCUUACUACUAAACUUUUCAAAAAUUCCAUCCAUGUCCAAUUUUUGUCCAUAGACUUAUAAAUUGGUAAAAUUGCUAUUUAAUACCUCCUAAUUAAUAUUUCAAAACAAUUUCAUACUAGAAACUUCUAGAAUGCAAGUUUUGCAAAUUAUUCGAUUUAGUCCCUAAUUUCAAUUUAAGCAUUUUAUGCAUAAAAUUUCUUCACGAAAUUUUCACACAAUCAUGCAAUCAUAUCAUAGACCUCAAAAUAAUCAUAAAAUAAUUAUUUCUAUCUCGGAUUUUGUGGUCACGAAACCACUAUUCCGACUAGGCCCAAAAUCAGGAUAUUACAACUCUCCCCCCUUUAGGGAUUUUCGUCCCCGAAAAUCUUACCAGAAAAGUGGUCUUCACUUUUAAUCUCAUAUUCGGUGCCAAAGAACUUUCACUUAGACUGUACCUCCAAUACAUCUCUUUAAUUUCUGAUAUGAUCUGAAAGCUUACAGUCUCAACUCUCAACUGUUCUUAAAUUUUCAACCCUUAUCAGUUUCCCAUGAUAUCAUGACAUAAAACUCGGAUCAUAACUUGAUUAAUGGAGACCGAAAUUCUAAGAAAUCCAACAAUCAAAGAGACCUAAAAUUCCAUGAAUCUGAUGAGUAGGAAUUCAUUCAAUACAGAUAUGAUUUAUAGAUCUCGCUAAACAUUUAACAAUAGGAUACAUCACAUUUUCCUCUUUCCGCCAUGGAAAUAAUUCUGAUAUGGCCUCAAGAAUAAUCCUUUUCAUUUUCAUCCUAAUAUCAACACUGGCUAGGAUAAUUUUGAUAGAUCCCAAUGCUCGGCUUUAACCUCUUUACAACUUAGAUUUUAUGUAACAUCGAAUGCUCUAAACUAUCACAUUACCUCACUGUCUUGAAACACAUCACAAUUCAUACAACAGUACAUUACUGAAAGCCAAGAAGUCUUUGCUCAAUGUAGACUAGUCUAGUUCAGACGCUUCGGUUACCGAUAUUCUCAUCUAUCCGAACUCUGUCAACAUGUAAUAAACUUUUCAGCUUUCACAAGACGAAAACCUUAUCAUUCGUAGUGACUUUAACUAAUAUCCAACUCUUUCUAAUAAAUAUACACUUCUCGUUCAGACUAUUUACUCUUUUAUCUGUACAAAAUGAAAUUCUAUUAUCAGACUUGAGAAAAAUAAUCUUGACAUAAUUGUCACAUGAAAUCUUUCAAAUAAAUAAUUCACCAUACCGACUGAAACUCGCGCUUUUAUCACUUAUGCCUUUACUGAUGUCAAAUCCUUACACAGAAAUUAGAAAAAUCCUAAUACUAAAAUCACCACAUUACCAAGAUCAAAUCAAAAGUAUAGUCAUAUUUGACAUGAUUAUCACGAGCUGAAGAACGCACUUCGAACACGAGUCAUAAUUGACAAAUUAUGGAACAAAGAUAACAAGGAAACCGAAUAAAGAAAUCCAAGAUAGAGAAAUCCAGAAUAAAGAAACCCAAGAUAUGAUACUAUGCUGGAGAAUCGAAAACCAAACUCAUAGAGAAAAUACAGAAUACCUCAAUAAUUCUUCAAAGAAAAAAAGUCCAAAAGAAAACAUCAUUUAAUCCCACUGGAAUCAAAUAUAACAAGAACAAUAUAUCUUCCCAUACAUAUAUAUCAGAUGAAGCAUCAAGUAGAAGAAACAGAAACAUAAUAUCUUACGUAUUCUCUCAUCAAUUCUUAUCAGACGAAAUGAAAUAGAAUACCCGAUGAAAUAGAGCAAUAUAAAUUAUAAACCAGUCAGACUACCAAUGCUUUCAUCCAACACCAGAAUUAGAAGACAUUCCCAUAUAACAAGAAUUUCUUCAGAAGAUCAAUAGCCAUAGAAAUAUUUCUGAGAACGGGUAAACACAUAGAACAUCUCAAAAGAGACUGCUAAAUCUGUCCAGUCAUAACUAUCACACUCAGAUAGUUCACAUUUCAAAUAUCAUUUCCCCAACUAGUUCUGCCAUCACAAAUUUCAUAUUAAACCAUUCACUAAAGAAGGCCAGUUCUGAAUAAAUUUCGAUUUACACUUUUCUUGACCUUGCACCUGAGCAAUUCGAUUUACCAAAGAGAAUUCCUUCUCUAACUGGGACAAUGCAUAAUUCUAAUAAUCUUUAUAUCAAUCCGAUACUUUACUAGCUCUGACUUUACUUAUCAGCUCAUUUUCAAUCUCUGAUCAUACUUAUAAUUAUUCUAUCACUGAACUCUUUGGGUUCUCAACCGGAAACUUAUUCAAUACAAAUCUCAUGAAAUUCCAUUAUAAGUACCACUUCGGUAAGGGGGAGGGGUUGUAGGACCUCUGACUCGACUUUCUUAUACAUACACAUAUGACACAACUUCCAUCAUCAUAGCAAGAUCAUCAAAAUCAUGUCAUUCAUUCAGGUAAUGCAACAUUCAUGUUGGCUUACACCAAUUUUCCUAUUGUCCCAUUUAGACAAUAUACUUAUGCAUACAUUCUAUGUUUUCUAGAUAGCUUUACUUAUCCAUUCAUUUAAUUAAUUUAAUUCAUGCUCAUGACAUCAUAUAAGGCCAAACAAACAUAGAUAUUUGUAUCACAAUCACAACUUUCAUUUCGUGCAUCAUCAUGUACAUAUCAUUAUAAUCAUAUAAUUCAGUCCAACAAUUUAACAUAGAUAAGUUCAUUUCAUUAUAAUCCUUUAUCUCAUAAAAAUUGUAUAUCAUUAACAUUCAUCAACAUUCAACGUCCAAUCAAGACAAGGACAUUUUCAUUCGUAUCAUGAUAUUAUGACCUUUAUUCAUACCUCUACUACUUUCUAUUUAUUCCGUUCAUCUUAUCAAGUAAGCCACAUACACUACAUCGUAUGAGCAUUAAGCAAAUAUGGAUAUUUAUCACAACAUGAACUUUCAUCUCACAUAUUAUCACAUAUGUAUCAUAAACUUUUAUUCAUACUUUUCUGAACCGAGACUUAUCAUAAUCAUAACUUUACUCAAAUACCUUCGCAUAAUAUUGAACAUGGUCAGCGCAGCUCGGUUGGAGAGUACCCUGUCUAAAUAAGACGGUACUUAUACGCGUCGAAAGACAUCACGCUAUCACAGAUCAGUGGCAUGUAUAGCUAAACUUUUACACAUGCUAAGUUAGUCCGAGAACCGACUAAACCUGCUCUGAUACCACCAAAUGUAACGUCCCGUACCCGAGACCGUCGCCGGAGUCGAACACGAGGUGUUAACAGACUUAAUUCAUUACUUAAACAGCUCAAACAAUUUAUUUUUAAAAUUUUCAGUUAAACUAGCAAUCUGCAUCACAGUCGCUUAAAAAUUCAUAUCUCAAGUUACGAAACUCGAAAUCCAAUUCCGUCAAUUUUCCCUGAAAAUUGACUCAUUUAUAUAUUUAUUAAUUUUUUAUAGAAUUUUUGGUCAAGCCAAUUAGUACAGUUUAUUAAUUAAAGUCUCCCCUAUUUUAGGGUUUGACUGCUCUGACCUCUGUAUAUUACGAAUCAGAUAUCUCUCUGUACAGAACUUCAAUGACUAUGAAGUUUGUUUCUAUUAAAACUAGACUCAAUAAGGAAUCUGUACAUAUAAAGAAUGACUUCUAAUUAUAUUUGUACAAUUUAUGAUAAAUUUUUAAAGUCAGAACAGGGGAUCCAGAAAUCACUCUGGCCCUGUUUCACAAAAAUUCAAAUAUCUCAUAAAAUAUAAUUCAUAUACCUGUUUUGUUUAAUCCAUAUGAAAAUGGACUCAUUAAGAUUCAAUUUCAUAACAUACUCAUCAUUUAAUUCCAUUUCUACUAUUUUUAGUGAUUUUUCAAAUUUACAUCACUGCUGCUGUUAGAAUCUAUUUUAUGGUAAAUUUUACCUAUUUCAUGGUUUCCAUGGAUUAGCUAGCAAUUUGACAUACAUAACACCAAAUAUGAUCAUGAUUAGCCAUUCCAAUGGCUAAUCAUUACCAAGCAUUUCCAUACCACUCAAUAACCAUAUCAUAAGACCAUAUAUACAAAAUGAUUAUAAUGCUAUACAUGCCAUACUCAAAAUAUACAAGCCAUUAUGCCAAGAUGGUAUACAGAUAGUGUGAGCGAACCUUCGACCGUUCCCGAUUUCCGAGCUGGCUUGUCAAAACUACAAGGAAUGAAAAGGAUGGAGUAAGCAUAAAUGCUUAGUAAGUUCACAUGCAAAUAGCAAGUAACAUAACCAUAUAAGCAAACAUAAAACAUCAUUUGCAUAAUCAUCACCAAUACAUUCAUAUCAUAUUUUCAUUUAUCAUCUUACCAUAUUAUUGUUAUAUCGAUUUUUCAACCCGAGGGUUAAAUACAUACCUGUUCAAAGUAUCCAUUUCACAACACUCACCAAUACGUCCCUUUCAUCUCUAGUAUUCCUCCAUUUGAGUAGAACUUUACCCGUUGAACACAUCGGAAUAUAAUUCGGAUACAUGGAAAGUUUGCACAUAAGUGCCACAUAUGUAGCCAAGCUACCAUGUAACCCGCCCAUAAGUGAACUCAGACUCAACUCAACGAGCUCGGGCGUUCGCAUCCACAAGUGAACUCGGACUCAACUCAACGAGCUCGGAUGCCUAGUUACAUCUCUCGAACUCGGACUCAACUCAACGAGUUCGGACAUUCGCAUCUAUAAGUGAACUUGGACUCAACUCAACGAGUUCGGAUGCUCAACCAUCCUAGUGACAUGUCACUUGUAUCCUAAUCCAUUCCUAAGGUUCAACGGGAAUUUUUUCCCAAUCAUGUGUCUCAACCAUCUUCUACGGAAUGCCGAUACCGAUACUCGGUAGUAUUUCACAUUUUCCAAGUAUAUCACACAAUUUGACAUAUUAUCAAACAAUUAUCACGAGUAUAGUAUUUCAUAAUAAUUAUCAUAUCAUUUAAAUAACAUAAAAACAUUUAAAAUAAUAACUAUGUUACCAACAUUUACAUAUGAACUUACCUCGUAUGCAAAAAUGGCUACUUUUACCAUUUCGUCCACAACUUGGUAUUUUCCCCAUUUUAGCCCGAAUUUUAGUUUUCCUUGCUCUAUCAUUUAAAAUAUAGUCUAAUUAGGACUCACAUUAUUCAAAUUGACCCAAAAUCAUAUUUUGGAAAAAUUACAAUUUUACCCCUAAACUUUUGCAUAUUUACACUUUUGCCCCAAAGCUCGUAAAUUAAACUUCAGCAUAUUUUCUUAUGUUUUAUGACAUGCUGAUCAUUUUUCCCUUCUAUGGAAACAUCAAAUUCUCACUCUAACAUGUACUUAUGACUAUUAGGUAUUUUUACCGAUUAAGCUCUUUUGCUCGUUUUCACUUAAAACCGAGUAGCACAAGUUGUCUAACAUAAUUUAAAACCUCAUAUUCUAUCAUAAAAUACCAAAAUACACAAAUUUCACCUAUGGUUAUUUUUCCAAAUAUAAAACCUAGGUUAAAUUAUUGCUAGAAUAAGCUAAAUCAAGUUACCGGGACUCCAAAAAUGUAAAAAUCAUUAAAAACGAGGCUAGAACGGACUUACAAUCGAGCUUGGAAGCUUGAAAAACCCUAGCCAUGGUUUCUCCUUGCUAUAUUCGGCCAUGGGGUUGAAGAUGAGCAAAAUUGGCUUUUAAUUUUGUAUUUUAAUUUAUUUUACCCCUAAAUGACGAAAAUGCCCUUACUAUUAAACUUUUCAAAAAUUCCAUCCAUGUCCAAUUUUUGUCCAUAGACUUAUAAAUAGGUAAAAUUGCUAUUUAAUACCUUCUAAUUAAUAUUUCAAAACAAUUUCAUACUAGAAACUUCUAGAAUGCAAGUUUUGCAAAUUAUUCGAUUUAGUCCCUAAUUUCAAUUUAAGCACUUUAUGCAUAAAAUUUCUUCACGAAAUUUUCACACAAUCAUGCAAUCAUAUCAUAGACCUCAAAAUAAUCAUAAAAUAAUUAUUUCUAUCUCGGAUUUUAUGGUCACGAAACUACUAUUCCGACUAGGCCCAAAAUCAGGAUAUUACACAUAUUCUACUGUUUGACAAUUUCGACCCUUCUUCACUAAAAAUUAAUUAUCUCACAGUACAGAACUCGGAUAAUAUUCCCGUUGAUUUAUCCUGAAAAUAGACUCAUUAAGGAUUCUAAAAAUAUAAAUUUAAGCCUCUAAUUAUUUUUCUCCAAUUUUUGGUGAUUUUGCAAAGUCAGAACAGGGGAACCCGAAUUCAUUCUGACAUUGUCUCACAAAAUUCAUUAUAUAUCAUAAUUUACAAUUCAAUUGCUUACACCGUUUCUUCUAUAAGAAACUAGACUCAAUAAGCUUUAAUUUCAUUUUUUUUCAUCUUCUAAUUUUAUUUCUACAAUUUAUAGUGAUUUUUCAAAGUUAGUCUACUGCUGCUGUCCAAUAUUGUUUUAGUGCAAGCUGUUUGUUACCAUUUUUCCCUUAAGCUUUUAAUAAAUAACAAUUUCAUCCCUACUCAAUUAGCCUCUCAAUUGAGCUGAUUUUUCUCAAUUAAUACUUUAUUCUAUCACCUUAAACUAGUUUACAACCUUUAAGAAUAAAAAAUUCAGAAAUAAACUUUAAUUCCAAACAUUUUUACAAUUAGGUCCUAAAAAUCAAUUUCUAUUGAACUUACCUAAUAAAAUCAUCUCAUAAACAAAUUAAAGCUUUAAUUUCAUUCUAUUUCAUCAUAAAUUUACAGCACUCAACCAUGGUUACUUUCAAUUUCAUCCAUGAAAUCAAAAACUAAUGAAUUUAAUAGUAGGACCUAGUUGUAAAAGUCUUGGAAACACAAAAAUUACAAGAAAAAGGCAAGUAUUAACUCACUCGGUGCAAAAAUUAUGGAAUACCAGCUUAGAUAACCCUCCUAUGGCGUUUUUAGCUGCUGGGAUUGAAGAGAAAUGAAGAGAAAUCUAGAUAUUUCCUAUUUAGUCCUAGUUUUAUUUAGUUAAUUUUGCAAUAUUCCAAUUUUUCCCUUAAUUUAUCAAUUUUCUUGCUGAUUUCAUGCCCUUGUCGUCCAGCCCAAAUAAAUUUUGGGUCCAAUUCCUUUUAAACCCUCUCUCAUUAGACACUUAAGCUAUUUAAUCAUCCCAUCCAUUUUUACACCUUUUACAAUUUAGUCCUUUUCAUUUAAUUAACUAUCAAAACAUUAAAAUUUCCUAACAAAAUUUUAAUACCACAUUACUAACAUUUCAUAAAUAUUUAUAAAAUUAUUUUCGACUCGAUUUUAUGAGAUAUUGGUCCCGAUACCUUAUUUUACCCAAUUUCUUCAAUAAUUUCUUUUUCUAACUAACCACUAAAUCGGUAAAAUUUUUCUAUCAAUAUUUUCAUACGAUUUUCCUAUCAUAUCAAUUUUCAUGCAAAAAUAUUGAAAUAAAUUUAUCUUUAAAUCAGAUUUGUGGUUACGAAACCACUAUUCCGAUAAUCUUGAAUUUAGGCCAUUACAACUCUCCCCUCUUUAGGAUUUUCGUCCUCGAAAAUCUUACCAGUAAAGAGGUUUGGGUAUUGUUUCGUCAUUGCCUCCUCCGGUUCCCAUGUCGCUUCCUCAAUACCAUGUUUUUUCCACAAUACUUUCACUAAAUUUAUCUUUUUAUUUCUAAACUCUUUUGUCUCCCGUGCCAAUAUCUUGACCGGUUCUUCACUGUAAGUCAUAUUCGGUUGAAUCUCUACUUCUGUCGGAGAAAUAACAUGUGAAGGAUCUGAUUGAUAUCGUCGUAACAUAGAUAUAUGAAAAACAUUAUGGAUUCUAUCAAGUUCUGGUGGUAAUGCCAAUCGAUAAGCGACCGGUCCAAUUCUUUCUAUGAUUUCAUAUGGCCCAAUAAAUCUUGGACUCAAUUUACCCUUUCGACCGAAUCGAAGAACUUUCUUUCAAUGAGACACUUUCAAGAAUACCUUGUCACCGACUUGAAAUUCAAUCUCUUUUCGUUUAAGGUCGGCAUAUGAUUUUUGACAAUCGGAAGCUGUUUUUAGACUAUCCCAAAUAACCUUUACUUUUUAUUUUGCUUCCCGGAUCAAAUUAACCCCAUGUAUCUUCCUUUCACUGAGUUUUGUCCAAUAUAGCGGUGUUCUACAUUUUCUACCAUACAAAGCUUCAUAUGGAGUCAUUUUAAUACUGGACUAAUAACUAUUAUUGUAAGCAAAUUCAAUGAAAGGUAGAUACCUCUUCCAAUUACCUUCAAACUCUAGUAUACAACAUCGAAGCAUAUCUUCCAAUACUUGAAUUACACGCUCAGGUUGACCAUCUGUUUAAGGAUGAAAUGCAGUGCUGAAAUACAACUGAGUACCUAAGGCUUCAUGCAAUUUGUCCCAGAAAUUAGACGUAAAUCGGGGAUCUCUAUUUGAUAUAAUAGAGACAGGCACUCCAUGUAGCCUGACAAUCUCAGAUAUGUAUAGUUCAGCUAAUUUAUCUAAAGAAUAAUCCAUACGUACCGGAGUAAAGUGCGCCGACUUUGUCAAUCGGUCAACAAUCACCCAAAUAGCAUCUUUUUUCCUCGGAGACAAAGGUAACCCCGAUACAAAAUCCAUAGUAAUUCUUUCCCAUUUCCAUUCCAGUAUAGUAAUUGGUGAAGUAACCCCGAAGGUACCUGAUGUUCAGCAUAUAACUGCUUCUCUCGCAGAAUUUGCAACACAAUUCUCAAAUGUUUUGCAUGUUCUUCUUCAUCCCGAGAAUAAACCAAAAUAUCAUCAAUGAAUACUACUACAAAUCUGUCUAAGUACGGUCUGAAUAUCCGGUUCAUCAAAUCCAUGAAUACUGCAGGUGAAUUAGUUAGCCCAAAUGGUAUAACCAGAAACUCAUAAUGUCUGUACCUGGUUUUAAAGGCUGUUUUUGGCACAUCUGACUCCUUUACCCAUAACUGAUAAUAACCUGAUCGAAUAUCAAUCUUUGAAAACACAGUAGCACCUUUCAGCUGAUCAAAUAAAUCAUCAAUCCGGGGUAACGGGUACUUAUUCUUUAUGGUUACUUUAUUAAGCUGCCGGUAGUAGAUACAAAGUCUUAAAGACCCGUCCUUCUUUUUCACAAACAGAACCCGAGCACCCCAAGGUGAAUGACUUGGUCGGACAAAACCCCUGUCAACAAGCUCUUGCAACUGUGUCUUUAACUCCUUUAAUUCAGUAGAAGCCAUCCGGUACGGAGCUAUGGAAAUCGAAAUAGUUCCCGGAAUCAAAUCUAUGGAAAAUUUCACUUCUAUUUUUGGUGGCAACCCUGGUAAUUCAUCUGAAAACACAUCGAAAAAUUCACAUACUAUUAGCACUGCCUGUAUCCUUGACUCAGAUACCUUGGUGUCGAGUACAUAAGCCAAGUAAGCAUCAUACCCUUUUUUGACAUACCUCUGUGCUGCCAUUACUGAAAUCACAUCAGAUAACCCCUCUGUCUGAUCAGAUUUAACCCGGAGCAACUUACCAUUUUGACAUUUUAGCACAAUAUAUUUUUGUCUACAAUUUACUACUGCAUCAUGCUGGGUUAACCAAUCCAUGCCCAAUAUCACGUCAAAUUCAUCAAAUGGUAGUAACAUCAAAUCAGCCGGGAAACAAUAACCUCUUACCAUCAGUGGACAAUUUUUACAAAUUUUAUCUACAAAAACGGAUUGACCCAAGGGGUUCAAGACUUUAACCACAAAUUUAGUAGGUUCAACAGAUAAAUUUUUAACGAUUGCAAGUUUAACACAUAUAUAUGAAUGCGUAGAACCAGGAUCAAUUAAUGCAGUAAUAUUAGUUCCAAGUAAAGAAAAUGUACCAGUAAUAACAUCGGGUGCUGAGGCAUCUUAUCUGGCACGAAUGGCGUAUGUCCUAGCAGGUGCUCAUGCCUCAGACCUGCCUGCAAUAUCUUUCGUAGCUCCUCGGCUACCACUGACAUUACCAGUUGGUCGAGGUGGUCUGCCCCUCGAAACUAGAUUACUUAGCUUCGAUAACUACUCAGCUUCUUUUUCACCUCUUUCUGGACAAUUUUUGAGGAAAUGGUCAAAAGAACCACAUUGGUAACAAGCCCCGCUCUUUAAUCGACAUUCACCAAAAUGAGCUUUAUUACAGUACUGACAUCUCGGCUUAGGAGUGCCAACACUGCAAAUACUGGCCACUGAUAGAGUGGAAGGUCUUGGAUUAGUGCGUUGAGAACCUCGCUCUCUACCCGAAUACCCAGUGGCUGAGGUAGAACGAUCCUGGUACUUCUUCAAUUUCUUUGGAGCAGAAAAAUGGGAUUUUCCCAUCGGUCUUUUACUAAAAAUUCGAGCUUCUCUCUCAGCCUGUUUCUUUUCUUUGCUCAAUUCUUCUGCUUUAUAAGCUCUCUCUGCUAAUGUAGCAAACUCUCGAAUUUCAAGAAUUCCGAUCAGUAGGUUAAUGUCUUCAUUCAACCCUUAUUCGAAUCGUUUGCACAUUUCAGCUUCUGACUGUACCCAUUCUCGAGCAUAUUUACUCAAUCGAACAAAUUCUCUUUCAUACUCAGAUACUGAUCUGUUACCCUGUUUCAGCUCAAGAAAUUCUUUUCUCUUCUGAUCGAGAAACCUCUGGCUGAUAUAUUUCUUUCUGAACUCGGUCUGAAAGAAUUCCCAUGUAAUUUCUUCUUUCAGAACAACUGAAGCUUUAGUAUUCCACCAAUAGUAAGCUGUGUCCUUUGGCAGUAAGACGACACAUUUCAGACAUUCUUCUGGUGUACAAGAUAAUUCCACCAAAACCCGAGUAGUGUUUUUUAACCAGAAUUCAGCCCGUUCAGAAUCAUUGUCAACUGCUGCUUGAAAUUCUUCGGCCCCAUAUUUUCAAAUUUUAUCUACUAGAGCUUUCCCUUUUUUGACAGAUUCAGUACCUGUACCCUGUGGGAUCUUGGGAACCGGUGGAGGAGUAGGAGGGGGAGCUUGAACUUGCUGCACUACAGGGUUAGUUUUUAAGUAUUGACUAAACCAUUCAUUCAUCAUUUGAAAGAAUGCUGUUUUUGCCUCCUCCCCUCGACCCUCUGUCUCGGGCCUUCUACUGCUAGUUUCUUCUCUUUGUACUGAAGCCGGAGCAUGACUCCCAGCUUCCUCAGAUUGAGCUCGAUCGGUAGACAUUUACUAUAAGAAAAACACAUUUAAAUGGUCAGGAGAUAUCACACUAUCAAUAAUAAUUUAAAUGGCAUGUAUAGCUAAUCCCGUAUUUACUAUGUCAGUCCGAGAACUGGCUAAACCGUAGCUCUGAUACCAACAAAUAUAAUAACCCCUACCCGUAUUCAUGUCAGAAUAAGGUACGAGGUAUUACCGGAGUUUACGAUUUUUUUAUAUAUUCAAUAUAGCCCCUUUAUAAAUAUCUAACCUUGCCUACAAUAUUAAAUCGAGACCAAAAAUAAUCCACAUCAACCAAUCCAAUUCAACAUAUUUUCAAGAUAGGUUAACGCAUAUAUAUUCACGCAUAUUUAUAAGAUAACAUCAUCGCAUACCAAAACCAAGAUUUGUUAGCCAUACCAUUGGUUCACCUUACAUUCAUUUCACAGAAUCAUUUACUUUAUUAGCUUAUACAUGCCAUUGAUUUCCAAAAUAAAGUUUUUUUAUAUACCAAAAUCCUGAGGUUGAUAAUGUGAUGUGUCUCCGACCAAAUCCGACCUCCGAGCUCUUAACACUACAAAACAAGGGAAAAGGAAACAGGGUAAGCACUUUGUGCUUAGUAAGCUCAUGUAACAAGAAUUAUAUUUACCUAAUAUUUUCAGUACAAUACAAUAAACAUUCAUAUAUCCAUUCAAUGCAUUAUUACCCUAACAUGCACAAACUCAACAUUCAAGUUAGUACAAUAAUUUCCAUGUACCAAUAAUAUUUACUAUGAUUGAUGAGCUCAUCAAUACCAUGAUUUCCAUUUCCUUGUUAUUUUUCCAUAUUUAUCCCGUUGAAUUUAUCAGAAUUUUGAUGGAUUUUCAGAGGUACACUUUUAGUGUACAAUUUCGAGUCCGUCAAUUCAUAUUCAUGUGCGCACAUUUCCAUUUCAGAGAUCACACUCCCGCGAACCUCAACUUUGCAGCGGGAUUACUAGUCCAGGCUAAAUCCCCUGCAACGACAAUUACUCUAAUGAGCUUGGAUCUGAGUUACCAGUCCAGGCUAAAUUUAGACCCUAAUUUGGAUUACCCAUCCGGGCUAAAUCCAUUUUACACAUAUUCUUCGGGAGGGCUAUAUCAGGAUAGGAUCACCCGUCCGGGCUAGAUCCUUUUUACCGUCAAUUCCUUUUCAGAGAUUCAUCGAAUUUUCCUUUCAUUCAACCGGGAUUUCUUCCCAUUUUAUCAAAUAUAUCAAUGUUUUAUUAAUUUUCAUACAAUGAACAUUCAAUUCAUAUUCACAUCAAUAACAUACAAUCUCAAGCAUUUAAGAAUAUAAUUCAAGUUACACGAACUUACCUUAAUACUUGUUCGUGUCCAAAAAUCUACUAAUCCUAAACUUUUUUCUUUCCUCGAUCUAGCUUCGUAUUUGAAUCUUCUGGAUCUAAAUAAAUAAAUUUAAUUAUCAAUUGAAUACAUUUCAUGUUCAUAUGCAACAAUUUCUAUAAUUUUAUUAUUAUUAUUUAUAGUUUAUUCAAAGCUGUCUAUUUGAGUCAUAGUCACUAAAUUAUUUAUAACUCAAGCUACGUAACUCCAAAUUAAGAUCCGUUAAUUUUUCCUGAAACUAGCUAGACUUAUAUAUCUUCUUACCAUAAAAUUUUCAGAAUUUUUGGUGUAGCCAAUAAGUACAGUUUAUUCUUUAAAAUCACCCCUAUUCUACUGUUUGACGGUUUCGACCCUUCUUCACUAAAAAUUAAUUAUCUCACAGUACAGAACUCAGAUAAUAUUCCUGUUGAUUUAUCCUGAAAAUAGACUCAUUAGGGAUUCUAAACAUAUAAAUUUAAGCCUCUAAUUAUUUUUCUCUAAUUUUUGGUGAUUUUGCAAAGUCAGAACAGGGGAACCCGAAUUCAUUCUGACAUUGUCUAACAAAAUUCAUUAUAUCUCAUAAUUUACAAUUUAAUUACUUACACUGUUUCUUCUAUAAGAAACUCGACUCAAUAAGCUUUAAUUUCAUAUUUUUUUCAUCUUCUAAUUUUAUUUCUACAAUUUAUGGUGAUUUUUAAAAGUUAGUCUACUCCUGCUGUCCAAUAUUGUUUUAGUGCAAACUGUUUAUUACCAUUUUUUCCUUAAGCUUUUAAUAAAUAACAAUUUCAUCCCUACUCAAUUAGCCUCUCAAUUGAGCUGAUUUUUCUCAAUUAAUACUUUAUUCUAUCACCUUAAACUAGUUUACAACCUUUAAGAAUAAAAAAUUCAGCAAUAGACUCUAAUUCCAAAAAUUUUCACAAUUACGUCCUAAAAAUCAAUUUCUAUUGAACUUGCCUAAUAAAAUCAUCUCAUAAACAAAUUAAAGCUUUAAUUUCAUUCUAUUUCAUUAUAAACUUACAGCACUCAACCAUGGUGACUUUCAAUUUCAUCCAUGAAAUCAAAAAUUAAUGAAUUUAAUAGUAGGACCUAGUUGUAAAAGUCUUAGAAACACAAAAAUUACAAGAAAAAGGCAAGGAUUAACUCACUUGGUGCAAAAAUUAUGGAAUACCAGCUUAGAUAACCCUCCUAUGGCAUUUUUAGUUGCUGGAAUUGAAGAGAAAUGAAGAGAAAUCUAGAUAUUUCCUAUUUAGUCCUAGUUUUAUUUAGUUAAUUUUGCAAUAUUCCAAUUUUGCCCUUAAUUUAUCAAUUUUCCUGCUGAUUUCAUGCCCUUGCCGUCCAGCCCAAAUAAAUUUUGGGUCUAAUUCCUUUUCAAAUCCUCUCUCAUUAGACACUUAAGCUAUUUAAUCAUCCCAUCCACUUUUACAUCUUUUACAAUUUAGUCCUUUUCAUUUAAUUAACUAUCCAAACAUUAAAAUUUCCUAACGAAAUUUUAAUACCACAUUACUAACAUUUCAUAAAUAUUUAUAAAAUUAUUUUCGACUCGGUUUUACCAGAUAUAGGUCCCGAAACCUUAUUUUACUCAAUUUCUUCAAUAAUUUCUUUUUCUAACUAACCACUAAAUCGGUAAAAUUUUUCUAUCAAUAUUUUCAUACGAUUUUCCUAUCAUAUUAAUUUUCAUGCAAAAAUAUUGAAAUAAAUUUAUCUUUAAAUCGGAUUUGUGGUUAUGAAACCACUAUUCCGAUAACCUUGAAUUUAGGCCAUUACACCCUCUAACCCCAAACCGUCACCGGAACAGGGUUACGGAGCAUUACUGGACCUAUCGAACAAUUUACAAUUAAUUCAAAAUAAAUUACAUGCAUAUCUUGAUUUAAUUAUAAAGUCCCUAUAAUGGACCCUCGAGGUCCAAAUCACACGUUAGAAUCGAAUCCGGACUUGUUCAGAUACUUCAAAAUAUUUUUUUUUUGCGAACUCAAUAUAACCCCUUUUAUAAAUAUCUAACCUUCCUUACAAAUUCAAAUCGAGACCAAUCCAAACAAAUCAAUUCAUGAAUUUAUACAUCUCUAAUUAUAACAAACUAAUAAUAUAAAGUUCUAACAUUUUCAUGUUUAUAACAAUCUAACAUAAGAUGUCUAAUUGAUUCAUUUAAAUUAUCAUUCAACAAAAUUACCCAAAACUAUGAUAUAGACUAUGUUUAAGACAUAUGUAAUUGUAUGAAACAACCAUUACCAUCAUUUAUCAUUAAUAUUUAUGUAUCAAAAUAACUACAAAUUACAACCAAGGUACAUGCCAUUUUCAAAAGAGAAAAAUACAUCACCACGUAUUUGAGUUCGGGAUUGACUUGGAUGCUCAAUCGUUAGUCACUUUUGUACUUAACCUGCGCAUGGAAACAAACCGUACGCUGAGUAUGCACUCAGUGGUAUUUCUAUAAACCAACACUUAAAUAAUUAUAAAAUACAUAUAUAACACUACUCAAAUUCAAUAACUAUUCAAAUAUUCACCUUUCAAUCUAGUACUCUAUUUUAUUUCAAACUCAGUAUCAGUCAUUAUUUUUCAAUAACAAUUAUUUGUUUAUUUUUAUUCAAUAAUAAUCAGUUAUUCAGUAUCAAACAAUCAAUAACAAUCAGUUAUUUAGUACAGUAAUUUAGUCAUUCAGUAAGUAUCAAAUAUUCAGUGCAGUAGUUUAGUUAUUCAAUAACUAUCAAUUAUUUAAUACAGUAAUUUAGUUAUUCAGUAACUAUCAAUUAUUCAGUACAGUAGUUUACCCCUAUUAACAUAACUCGAACCUAGACGAAUACACAGAUCCAACCAACACAUCAGUACGGCACAUUGUGCCUCAUCGACUUUGCCGAAUUAAACUGUAACAGUACGGUACUUAGUACCUCAUCCAAUUAAACCGAAGUAACUAUAACAGUACGACAUACAAUGUGCCUCAUCAACUUGAAGUCGAAGUAACAGUACGACACUUAUAGUGCCUCAUCGACUCAAGGUCGAAGUAUCCCUGAACACUUCAAAUCCUAUGGCAUGCCAAUUAUAUCCGACCCAAUCCGAUACAGUUAAUAAAGGUAUUCAAUUCAUUUCUCAAUUCACAAUAAUUAAUUAUUUCAAUAUCCAUUUCACAAUAAUCACAAAUUCACAUACACUCAAUUCAAUAUCAAAACACUAAUACUUACCUUAAUAUCUUUCCAUACACAUAUAAUAAUAAAAAACAACAAUUUAAAUGUUAAGUUCAGUUUAUAGAAAUAUAAACCGUAAUUCUCGAAUUACUCUUCAUCAACUUUCUCCUUUCCUUUCUUUGUCGAGGUAUCCGGUAUUACGUUAGCUACGGAAAUUAAAAUAAUUAUACCAUUAAUUAUAGCAUUAAUUUAUAAUAAUAAUUGAAUUUCUAUCCAAUUUAUAUUUUAGUUCAGACUCUAUUUCUAUUCAAAUUUCAUUCAAACUCAAAUUUAACUACUAAAUUUUCAACAUAUUUCACUAAUUUUGAAUUUUCCUCAAUUUAGUCCCUACAACAUAAAACUUAUAGCUUACUUCGCAAUUUAAUCCCUUUAUUAAUUCUAACUUGAAAUUCUUUCAAUUAAAUCCCUAAUUCAUCUUUUUGCCCAACAUAAAUUAUACUUGAAAACCUAUAAGCUUCUAAACUAUCAACUUAAUUUUAUCAAAACCUUGUUUUAAGACUUCUAAAAUAUCAAAAUUAAGAGAAAAUGACUUAAUUAAGCUUACCAAUUAAACUCCAAGCUUCAAAUUCCCUAUUUUCCCUUUUUCUUUCUUUUUCUUCUUUCUCUCUCCUUACUCUGCUCUAUUGCGAAAGCUUCUCUGUUCUUUUACCCUUUCCUUUCUUUUGUCUUUCUUUUUAUUCUUUUAUUAUUUCAUUUGUUUUAUUUAUUUUAUUAACUUAAUAUAUUAUAAUUUAAUUAUUAUAAAUAUCUAUCAUAUAAUUAAUAAUAUAAUACAAACGUAUACAUUUACUUUUCUACAUUUGUACAUGAUUAAUACCAUACAUUUAUCAUAAUUUUAUCUAAUUAUUUCAUAAAAAUCUUAUAAAUAAUUAUUUAAUUAAUAACUAUCUUUUUAAUUUAAUAAAAAUAAUAAAUAUCUUUGAUAUUAAGUAAAUACAUAUAUAAAUUACAAAUGUAUAUAUUUUAUUUAGUACACUUGGAUUCAUUAUCACCUUACACUUGUCACCAUUUAAUUUAUUUGUCAUAUAAAAAAUCUUAUAAUAUUAUAUAAUUAUAAUAAAUAUUUAUUUAAAUAAUUAUAAAUAAUAAUAAAUAUUUAUUUACUUUAAUAAAAAGUAAUUAAAUAAAUAUGUUACAAUUGUAUAUAUAUUAUUAUUACAUUUAUAUAUUUUAUUACCAUACAUUUAGCUUUAAUUUAUAUAUAUUUCAUUAAUUUAAUAAGAUAAUAUCAAUUAAAUAAUAAUUUAUACUAUUAUAUUCUAAUAUUAAUUAAUAAUAACUUAAACCAUUAAAAAUCUUUAGAUUUUUCUCAUUGUUUUGCCGCCUCAACUAUUACUUAAUGGCAUAUUUGCCAUUUUGGUCUUUUAUAUUUUCUUUUAAUCUAUAAUUCAAUUUUUACCCCUUAUUCAAUCUAGUAUUUCUUCCUAUUUUCUCUUAAUUAAGCUAAAUCACCUAAUUAAAACUAAUUAAACACACCACUAAACUCAUAAAUAUUUUUAAUAAUUAUUUACAAACCCAUUUUGUUAAGACGGAGGCCCGAUAAUGUACUUUCCCGAUGCCUAAUCAUUACAGAAAAUAACCAAAUUAAAGUACAAGUAUUAAAUUCAUAAUUUAUGUAAAGUAUAGGGUCCACUAGCAGAAUUUGACCUAAAUUAUAAUAUUUCCUUUAGAAGGGUUUGUUUGACCUAAAAUUAAGUACUGAAAUUUUAUUACUAAAUUUUAUAAGUGUUGAAUAUAUAUUUAAAAAUAUUUAUAAAUUAGUAAAUAUGUUAAUUUAAAUAUUUCAAUUUUUAAAAUAGUAAUUUGUUUUUUUUAAAUCAACUCAAUAUUUUCUACAUUAAAUGAUAAGUACCUACCUACCUACUUAUUUCGGCUUUUUUAGAUAAAUAAUCCAAAAAUAUUAAAAAUUUAUGAAAAUGACCCUAGUACUAGAUUAUUUAGAAAAAUGACCUAGUUUCUACAAUGUCAAUGGGUGCAACCACUUCUCAUGGCAACACACACCAAAAUGUAACGGAAUCAUUGCCUCACAAUUAAAAAAAUCAUAAGAUGAAAAAAAAUCUUUUUUUUAGUACCGCCACUUCUCAAAGCGACAACCGUAUAAAUUUUCACCCUAUUGUAUUUUUCAUGCAUAUUUCACGAAGUAAAUGAAAAAUAUAUAUAUUAUUGAUUUUUGGUGCUGCAUCCUUUAAUGAAGGCACUAAAUUGAAUAAUUCUCUUUUUUUUUUUACAUUCUUUUAAGUGGGGGCACCAAAUUGGAUUAAAAUAAAUAUUUGUUGGUGUUGCCUCCUUCAUCGGAGUCACUAAUAUUAGUAAUUUUUUUAUCUCUGGUGACUACUCUAGAUGUGACGGUACCAAUAUUUUCUUUUUGGAAUUUUUUUGUGUUGCCACUUCACAUGGAAUCUCCAAAAAUAGUGGCAACGCCAAAAAAUUUCAAAAAAAAUUCUACUACUGCCACAUCUCGAGUAGUCAUCAAAGAGAUUUUUUUUUUUACUGUUAUUGGUGGCUUCAUUGAAGGAGGCGACACCAACCAAAGCUUGGAACCAGAAAAGAAAAUUUUAUUCAAUUUGAUGUGUAAUGACCUGAAAUUCACGAGCACCGAAAAAGUGAGUUAUAGGGCCUCCGUCUUAGUGAAAUAAGUUCGAAAAUAAUUAUUAAAAAUAUUUAUGAGCCUAGUGGUGUGUCUAAUUAGGAUCUAAUUAAGUGAAUUUAGCUUAAUUUAGAGUAAGUAAUAAAAAGAAUUAAAUUGAAUAAAGGGUAAAAGUUUAAUUAUAAAGCAAUAGAAAAUAAAAAGGAUUAAAAUGGCAAUCAAGCCAUUGACUACAAAUGAGGUGGCAUAUUGGUGAAAUAAAAUCAAAGAUUUUUUUUAGGUUUUAUAUAUUAUAAUGAUUAUUAUUAUGGUUUUAUAUUAAAUUGUUAUGAUUAUUUAAUUGAUAAUAUAUUAUAAAUAAAUUAAAUAGAAGACAAUUGUAUGUUAAUAAAAUACACAUGUGUAAGAAUUGUAUGGGUACAUUUGUAAUUUAAAUAUUUAAUUACUUAUAAUUUAAGUAUAAAAAUAUUUUAUAAUUAUUAAUUGUGUUAAUUAAAUCAUGAGAUUUUUAUUUAAUAAGCAAAUUAGAUAAUGACAUUUGUAAUAAUAUAAAUAUGUACACUUGUUAUAUAAUUAUUAAUUUACUUAAUAUUAAAGUAAAAGAUAUUUUAAUAUAUUGUAUUAAUAUUAUAUUAUGUUAAUAAAAUAAUAAAGUAUAAAAGAAUUAAAGAAAUAAAGAAACAAAAGGAAAUAGAAACAGAGUUGAAAACGGGAAGCAGGGGAGAAAAAGAGAAAGAAAAAGGGAAACAAAAAUAAAAGAGAAAACUAAGGAUUUGAAGCUUGGAGUUAAUUUGGUAAGUCAAUUAAGUCCUUUUUAGUUAAUUUUGAUGUUUUAGGAGCUUUGAAACAAGAUUUUGAUGAAAUUAAGUUGAUAGUUCAAGAGUUCAUAUGUUUCCAAGUAGGGUUCAUGUUGGAAAAAUUAUGGAAUUAGGGAUUUAAUUGAAUGAAUUCUAAGUUAGAAUUGAAUAAGUGAUUAAAUUGUAAACUAGGCUAUAAGUUUUAUGUUGUAGGGACUAAAUUGAAGAAAUUUCGAAAUUAGGGAAAUAUACUGGAAAUUUUAUAGUUAAAUAUAAGUUUAGACAAAAUUUGAAUAGAAAAAGAGAGUGAAUUGGAUUAAGAAAAUAAUUAAGUUUAGUUAGGAUUAAAUUGGGAAUAAGGUAGGAGUUGUUUAGAAAUUUAAUUAUUUAUUAUAAUUAAUGCUGUAAAUAAUAAUGUAAAUUACUAUUAUUUCGUAGCCAACAAAGAACCGGAAGCAUCAGCAUCGAAAGGAAAGGAGAAAGUCAUCGAGGACUAAAACGGGAGAAUUACGGUGUGUAUUACUAUAAUUCAAAUUUUAAUUAUUAUUGAUUGCUGAAAUUUUAAUUGUUAUGUAUGGUAAAUAAGACUUGAGGUAAGUAUGUGAAAUCGAUAUGAAUAUUGAGUGAAAAUGAAAGUGAUAUAAAUUGAAUCAAAUUGAAUUGAAUAAGUGAAUUAUGGAAUAUGUGAUUAUUUGAAAAGUGUAUUGAUUGAAAAUAGAUAAAUUGUGACAAAUGUAUGGUGUUGAUGGUAUACACUUGUGUGAAAAUUAAUUUGUAUAUGAAUUAAGAUAAUAGAUAUUUGAAUUGAAUGAGUAUUGAAUAAUUUUUGUGUAAAUGAAAUUGAAAUUAGAAAAAAAAGUAAAAUAAUACCCUAUUAACUUGUCGGACUAGAUUCGAUACAAAUGGCAUGCCAUUGGAUUUGUGAUGUGAUGAAGAGAUUGUAGUUCAGUCGAGAAGAUGUUUCUAUCAUUAUAUACUUCGGUUUAUCCGAAUAGGCAUUUAAUGCCUUAUUGGUGUGUUUGGGAGGAUAUAUUAUACCGGUGUGUUAUGGAGGAUUUACAAUAUUUCAGGUGUGUUUGGGUUGGACAUUCUAGUGUGUUUGGAUGGAAUCCGCGUAUCUGUCAUAGUCCGAGCUUUGUUAAUAGGGUAAAUAAUUGAAAUGAAAUUUUGAAAAUGAGAUUAUUUGUUUUAGCACUAUUGAAAAGUACGAGAAAGAAUGUAUGAACUAAAUUAUGAAUUGAGUUAAUAUGAGAAAAAUAAAUUAUGAAUUUAAGAUUUAUGAAGUAAAAUAAUUAUAUAUAAAAGUAGUUUAAAUAAUUAUAAAAUUUAUGGUUGAUGUUUGUAAUUUAUUAAUGUUAAAUAGUCUUGAUUUAUAGUAAUACCACUGAGUAUAUCCAUACUCAGUGUACGGUUGCUUCCGUGCGCAGGUUAGUAGAAGUCAAGUGUCCUGGCUCAGCAUCUAGAACAAUCCCGACUCCAAUACAAAUUUGGUGAUGCAUAUUUUUCUUUUGGGUAAAGGUGGCAUGUACAUAGGUGUUGUUUAGUCACUUGAAUAUGUAUAUUACUUUGGGUAGUGAAGGAUGAAUUAUAAAAUUUAGAUGGUUAAAUGAAAUGGUAAGGAAAGUACAUGAUGUUUUGAUACAUGAACAUUAAGUUGUUAAAUGAAUGAAGUUUUUAAUCAAUUUUGAAUGAUGCUAUGAUAAUUAUUAAGUUAAAAUUUUGUUAAUGAUAUAAAUAUUAGUUAUAUGAAUGUGAAAUAUUGGUGUUGGUUGUUUUGGUUUGAAUUUGCAGGAGGUUUAGGUAAAAAUAAGCAGAAAUGCUGCCGAAAUUUUUAUAAAAAAAAAUUUGGAAUACUCGAAUAAGUCCUGUUCUACUUUUAAUACGUGUUUGAACUUCGAGAGUUCAAGAUAGGGACUUAAUUAUUAUAUUAUACUAUGAAAGUUAUAUUAAUUGUAAAUUAUUCGUAAGUUGUCUGAUAUGUCCGGUAAUGCCUCAUAACCUCGUUCCGGUAACGGUUUGGGGUUAGGGGGUGUUACAAUUGUUGGUAUCAGAGCUAUUAGGUUUAGCUGAUUCUCGGGCUAAAUUAGGCUCGGAAGUGAGUUUAGAAGUACAUGCCACUGUCGAGUCGAAAUUGAGUCGGGAUUUUUGGAUGCUAAUGUAUUUAUUUGAUUUUGUUUUAUAGAUAAAAUGUCAGAUGAAAGAAUGGAUAAUGUUGAACAGGAAAUGUAUACUGGAAGUCGAGAAUUAGAAGAAACUGAAUCUGUUACACCUAGUGUGAAUCCGUUCAAUAAUCAAUCUCCUAAUGUAGGGAGAGAAAGAAAUACCUCACAAGUGUUAAGAGAUAUAGCUGAUGAAUUACAGCAUAUAGUGAGAACUAUACCUGCUACUACAUCUGUACCUACUGUCAGGCAGGCCCCGAUUAAAGAGCUACGAAAAUAUGGUGCCACGGAAUUUCAGGGAUUAAAAGGAGCUGAUCCAUCCGUUGCUGAAAAUUGGAUAGAAACAACAAAAAGAGUUUUGCAACAAUUAGACUGCACCCCCCGAGAAAGUCUGAUAUGUGCUGUAUCACUGUUACAAGGAGAAGCGUAUCUCUGGUGGGAAUCUAUGGUUAGACAUUUGCCGGAUGAUCAGGUAACUUGGGACUUGUUUCGAAAAGAAUUUCAGAAGAAGUAUAUUAGGGAAUUGUACAUCGAAGAGAAAAAACAAGAGUUUUUAGUGUUGAAACAGGGGAAUAUGUCAGUACUGGAUUAUAAGCGAGAGUUCUCUAGAUUGAGCAGGUAUGCUUUAGAAUAUGUUCCAACCGAGGCUGAUAGUUGUAAACGAUUUCUAUGGGGACUACGAGAUGAAAUCAAGAUUCAAUUGGUAAGUCUCAGAAUUACUGAACUUGUUGAUCUGGUUGAGCGAGCAAAAAUGAUAGAACAAGUACUGGGUCUGGAUAAAAAAUCAGAAAUUGGUAAAUCAGCUGGGAAACGUAUGGGAACUACUAGUUCUAAUCUAUUACCGAAGAGAUUCAGAGAAUCAAGAAGUGACUGGAGAUCCAGUUUUAGUUCAGAUAGAGGUGGUAGAAGCAGAGGUAAACAGAUGACAAUAUCUACUAGUAGUGUGAGAGGUCCAUCCCGAAGUAUAGAAAUUCCAGACUGUGAGCAUUGCGGAAAGAAACAUUUAGGUGAAUGUUGGAGGAUAACUCGACGAUGUUUUCGAUGUGGGGCCACAGAUCAUUUCAUUCGAGAUUGUCCGAAAGGUGAAAGUGCCACACCUGCAACAUCUCAAAGAUCAGUACCUACUGUUCGUGGCAGAGGAUCUAGUAGGGGUGGUUCAGGUUCUGUGUCUAGAGGUAGAGGUGUCAGAAGAAACAGCGAUAUAGUUACACAACAGUCAGAGGCCAGAGCGCCGGCCAGAGCGUACGUAGUCCGGACCCGUGAGGAAGGCAAUGCACAUGAUGUUGUUACAGGUAUAUUUCUAUUGUAUUCUGAGCCUAUUUAUGCUUUAAUUGAUCCGGGUUCGUCACACUCAUAUAUAAAUUCAAAACUAGUCAAAUCGGGGAAAUUAGAAUCUGAAAUGUCUGAAGUUUCUAUAGAAGUGUCUAGCCCUUUGGGACAAACGGUGUUAGUAGAUAGAGUAUGUCGGAGGUGCCCGUUAAUAAUACAUGAUAAAAUGUUUCUUGUGGACUUGUUGAUCAUGCCUUUUGGUGAUUUUGAUAUCAUUUUGGGUAUGGACUGGUUAUAUGAACAUGGGGUAGUUUUGGAUUGCUAUAAAAAGAGGUUUAGUAUUCAGACAGAAAAUGGGAAUAGAAUUGAAGUGAAUGGCAUCCGUACCAGUGGUUCGACACGUAUUAUUUCAGCGAUGAAGGUUAAUAAAUUACUGUAGCAGGGUUGUCCAGCAUACUUGGCAUAUGUUAUUAAUUCUGAUUCAGUUGGGAGUCAGUGCAGUCAGAUUAGGACUGUACGUGAGUUUCCAGAUGUAUUCCCAGAAGAAUUACCGGGCUUACCACCUGACAGAGAGGUUGAAUUUGCUAUUGAGGUGUAUCCAGGUACAACACCAAUUUCUAUACCUCCGUAUCAAAUGUCGCCCACUGAGUUGAAAGAGUUGAAGGUGCAGUUACAAGAUUUACUAGAUCGUGGAUUUAUUAGACCAAGCAUUUCACCCUGGGGAGCUCCAGUAUUGUUUGUUAAAAAGAAAGAUGGCUCUAUGCGACUUUGUAUUGAUUACCGACAGUUGAACAAGGUAACAAUUAAAAAUAAGUACCCGUUGCCUUGCAUUGAUGAUUUAUUUGAUCAGUUGAGAGGAGCUUCUGUGUUUUCGAAGAUUGACUUAAGGUCGGGUUACUAUCAGUUGAAGGUAAAAGAAAGUGAUGUACCGAAAACAGUUUUUCGUACAAGGUAUGGCCAUUAUGAGUUCUUGGUAAUGCCAUUUGGGUUAACAAAUGCCCCAGCUGCUUUUAUGGAUCUCAUGAAUCGUAUCUUUCAGCCGUAUUUAGAUCAGUUUGUGGUGGUUUUCAUUGAUGAUAUAUUGGUAUAUUCGAAGACAGAGGCAGAACAUGAUCAGCAUCUUCGAAUAGUUCUACAAAUUUUACGAGAGAAAUAGUUAUAUGGAAAGCUUAGUAAAUGCGAGUUCUGGUUAUCAGAAGUGGUAUUUCUGGGACAUGUAAUAUCUGCAGAUGGAAUUCAAGUUGAUCCGAAAAAGAUCGAAGCAAUUGUUCAGUGGAAGGCACCAAAGAAUGUAUCGAGGUACGCAAUUUUCUCGGUUUAGCUGGGUAUUACAGGAGGUUUGUAAAUGGAUUCUCGAAGAUAGCACUACCAAUGACUAAACUACUGCAGAAGAAUGUUCCUUUUAUUUGGGAUGAUCAGUGUCAGAAAAGUUUUGAAACAUUGAAGCGAAUGUUAACCGAGGCACCAGUUUUGACAUUGCCAGAAUCGGGUAAAGAUUUUGUAGUGUAUAGUGAUGCUUCUUUGAGUGGUUUGGGUUGUGUAUUGAUGCAGGAUGGGAAGGUAAUAGCCUAUGCAUCUCGUCAAUUGAAACCAUAUGAAAGGAAUUAUCCCACUCAUGAUCUUGAGUUAGCAGCUGUGAUUUUUGCAUUGAAGAUUUGGAGACAUUAUCUUUAUGGUGAAAAAUGCUACAUCUAUACUGAUCAUAAGAGUUUGAAGUAUCUUCUUUCUCAGAAGGAAUUGAAUUUGAGACAAAGGCGUUGGAUCGAGCUUCUGAAAGAUUAUGAUUGUGUUAUAGACUAUUAUCCGGGAAAAGCUAACGUUGUAGCUGAUGCAUUAAGCAGAAAAGCUGUAAUUGAAUUAAGAGCAAUGUUUGCACGGCUUAGUAUCACUGAUGAUGGGAGUCUUUUGGCCGAAUUAAGAGUAAAACCGGUAAUGUUUGAUCAGAUUAGAUCAGCCCAGUUGGAAGAUGACAAAUUAUUGAAGAAAAGAGAGAUGGUACAGAAUGGCAUAGCAGAAAAUUUUAGUAUUGAUGAUUGUGGAUGCUUAAGGUUUCGAAAUCGGAUUUGUAUUCCAAAUACUUCUGAGCUCAAAGAGUUAAUUCUACGUGAAGCUCAUGAUAGUUCGUUUGCUAUGCACCCCGGAGGCACGAAAAUGUAUCGAGAUUUAAGAGAAUUAUACUGGUGGCCAGGGAUGAAAAGAGACAUAGUAGAAUUUGUAAGUAAAUGUCUGACUUGCCAACGGGUAAAGGCAGAACAUCAGGUUCCUGCUGGAUUGCUUCAGCCUAUUAAUAUUCCUGAAUGGAAAUGGGAUCGCAUCACGAUGAAUUUUAUUACGGGAUUACCGUUGUCAUCAAGCAAAAAGAAUGCUAUUUGGGUGAUAGUUGAUAGACUUACCAAGUCAGCACAUUUUAUAGCAGUCAGGACUGAUUGGCCGUUGCAGAAGCUUGCAGAUGUGUAUAUUCGAGAAAUUGUUAGACUACGUGGCAUUCCGAUAUCAAUAAUUUCAGAUCGAGAUCCUCGGUUCACAUCGAGAUUUUGGAGACAGUUACAUGAGUCGUUGGGUACUAGACUUAGUUUCAGUACAGCUUUUCAUCCCCAAACUGACGGACAGUCCGAACGGGUAAUUCAGGUACUAGAAGAUAUGCUUCGAACUUGUAUUAUUGAGUUUGAAGCAGGUUGGGAGCGAUAUUUGCCACUAGCUGAGUUUGUCUAUAAUAAUAGUUUCCAAUCUAGUAUUCAGAUGGCUCCGUAUGAAGCGUUAUAUGGUCGAAAAUGUAGAUCACCAGUAUGUUGGACUGAAUUGAAUGAAAGAAAAGUAAUUGGGCCGGAAUUGAUUCGUGAAACAGAAGAAACAGUCAAGAAGAUUCAACAUAGAUUAAAAGCAGCUUUUGACAGACAAAAAUCUUAUGCUGAUUUGAAACGUCGGGACAUUGAAUAUUCAGUUGGAGACAAAGUAUUUCUUAAGAUUUCUCCUUGGAAAAAAGUUUUGAGAUUUGGUCGGAAAGGUAAAUUGACCCCACGUUUUAUUGGGCCGUAUGAAAUAGUGGAAAGAAUUGGACCAGUUGCAUAUCGAUUGGCUUUACCUUCUGAAUUACAAAGGAUUCAUGAUGUUUUUCAUGUUUCGAUGCUACGAAAAUAUAGAUCAGAUCCUUCUCAUAUAAUUUCUACAGAAGAUAUUGAAGUUCGACCUGAUCUAUCAUAUGAAGAAGAGCCGGUUCAAAUUUUAGCACGAGAAAUGAAAGAAUUAAGAAAUAAAGAGGUUCCUUUAGUGAAAGUCCUAUGGAGAAAUCAUAAUGUUGAAGAAGCGACUUGGGAACCAGAGGAAACUAUGAGAGUACAAUAUCCUCAUCUCUUAUCAGGUAAAUUUCGAGGACGAAAUUUAUUAAGGGGGGAGAAAUGUAAUGACCUGAAAUUCACGGGCACCGAAAAAGUGAGUUAUAGGGCCUCCGUCUUAGUGAAAUAAGUUCGAAAAUAAUUAUUAAAAAUAUUUAUGAGCCUAGUGGUGUGUCUAAUUAGGAUCUAAUUAAGUGAAUUUAGCUUAAUUUAGAGUAAGUAAUAAAAAGGAUUAAAUUGAAUAAAGGGUAAAAGUUUAAUUAUAAAGCAAUAGAAAAUAAAAAGGAUUAAAAUGGCAAUUAAGCCAUUGACUACAAAUGAGGUGGCAUAUUGGUGAAAUAAAAUCAAAGAUUUUUUUUAGAUUUUAUAUAUUAUAAUGAUUAUUAUUAUGGUUUUAUAUUAAAUUGUUAUGAUUAUUUAAUUGAUAAUAUAUUAUAAAUAAAUUAAAUAGAAGACAAUUGUAUGGUAAUAAAAUACACAUGUGUAAGAAUUGUAUGGGUACAUUUGUAAUUUAAAUAUUUAAUUACUUAUAAUUUAAGUAUAAAAAUAUUUUAUAAUUAUUAAUUGUAUUAAUUAAAUCAUGAGAUUUUUAUUUAAUAAGAAAAUUAGAUAAUGACAUUUGUAAUAAUAUAAAUAUGUACACUUGUUUUAUAAUUAUUAAUUUACUUAAUAUUAAAGUAAAAGAUAUUUUAAUAUAUUAUAUUAAUAUUAUAUUAUGUUAAUAAAAUAAUAAAGUAUAAAAGAAUUAAAGAAAUAAAGAAACAAAAGGAAAUAGAAACAGAGUUGAAAACGGGAAGCAGGGGAGAAAAAGAGAAAGAAAAAGGGAAAGAAAAAUAAAAGAGAAAACUAAGGAUUUGAAGCUUGGAGUUAAUUUGGUAAGUCAAUUAAGUCAUUUUUAGUUAAUUUUGAUGUUUUAGGAGCUUUGAAACAAGAUUUUGAUGAAAUUAAGUUGAUAGUUCAAGAGUUCAUAUGUUUCCAAGUAGGGUUCAUGUUGGAAAAAUUAUGGAAUUAGGGAUUUAAUUGAAUGAAUUCUAAGUUAGAAUUGAUUAAGGGAUUAAAUUGUAAACUAGGCUAUAAGUUUUAUGUUGUAGGGACUAAAUUGAAGAAAUUUCGAAAUUAGGGAAAUAUGCUGGAAAUUUUAUAGUUAAAUAUAAGUUUAGACAAAAUUUGAAUAGAAAAAGAGAGUGAAUUGGAUUAAGAAAAUAAUUAAGUUUAGUUAGGAUUAAAUUGGGAAUAAGGUAGGAGUUGUUUAGAAAUUUAAUUAUUUAUUAUAAUUAAUGCUGUAAAUAAUAAUGUAAAUUACUAUUAUUUUCGUAGCCAACAAAGAGCCGGAAGCAUCAGCAUCGAAAGGAAAGGAGAAAGUCAUCGAGGACUAAAACGGGAGAAUUACGGUGUGUAUUACUAUAAUUCAAAUUUUAAUUAUUAUUGAUUGCUGAAAUUUUAAUUGUUAUGUAUGGUAAAUAAGACUUGAGGUAAGUAUAUGAAAUCGAUAUGAAUAUUGAGUGAAAAUGAAAGUGAUAUAAAUUGAAUCAAAUUGAAUUGAAUAAGUGAAUUAUGGAAUAUGUGAUUAUUUGAAAAGUGUAUUGAUUGAAAAUAAAUAAAUUGUGACAAAUGUAUGGUGUUGAUGGUAUAAACUUGUGUGAAAAUUAAUUUGUAUAUGAAUUAAGAUAAUAGAUAUUUGAAUUGAAUGAGUAUUGAAUAAUUUUUGUGUAAAUGAAAUUGAAAUUAGAAAAAAAAGUAAAAUAAUACCCUAUUAACUUGUCGGACUAGAUUCGAUACAAAUGGCAUGCCAUUGGAUUUGUGAUGUGAUGAAGAGAUUGUAGUUCGGUCGAGAAGAUGUUUCUAUCAUUAUAUACUUCGGUUUAUCCGAAUAGGCAUUUAAUGCCUUAUUGGUGUGUUUGGGAGGAUAUAUUAUACUGGUGUGUUAUGGAGGAUUUACAAUAUUCCGGGUGUGUUUGGGUUGGACAUUCUGGUGUGUUUGGAUGGAAUCCGCGUAUCUGUCAUAGUCCGAGCUUUGUUAAUAGGGUAAAUAAUUGAAAUGAAAUUUUGAAAAUGAGAUUAUUUGUUUUAGCACUAUUGAAAAGUAUGAGAAAGAAUGUAUGAACUAAAUUAUGAAUUGAGUUAAUAUGAGAAAAAUAAAUUAUGAAUUUAAGAUUUAUGAAGUAAAAUAAUUAUAUAUAAAAGUAGUUUAAAUAAUUAUAAAAUUUAUGGUUGAUGCUUGUAAUUUAUUAAUGUUAAAUAGUCUUGAUUUAUAGUAAUACCACUGAGUAUAUCCAUACUCAGCAUACGGUUGCUUCCAUCCGCAGGUUAGUAGAAGUCAAGUGUCCUGGCUCAGCAUCUAGAACAAUCCCGACUCCAAUACAAAUUUGGUGAUGCAUAUUUUUCUUUUGGGUAAAGGUGGCAUAUACAUAGGUGUUGUUUAGUCACUUGAAUAUGUAUAUUACUUUGGCUAGUGAAGGAUGAAUUAUAAAAUUUAGAUGGUUAAAUGAAAUGGUAAGGAAAGUACAUGAUGUUUUGAUACAUGAACAUUAAGUUGUUAAAUGAAUGAAGUUUUUAAUCAAUUUUGAAUGAUGCUAUGAUAAUUAUUAAGUUAAAAUUUUGUUAAUGAUAUAAAUAUUAGUUAUAUGAAUGUGAAAUAUUGGUGUUGGUUGUUUUGGUUUGAAUUUGCAGGAGGUUUAGGUAAAAAUAAGCAGAAAUGCUGCCGAAAUUUUUAUAAAAAAAAAAUUUGGAAUACUCGAACAAGUCCCGUUCUACUUUUAAUACGUGUUUGAACUUCGAGAGUUCAAGAUAGGGACUUAAUUAUUAUAUUAUACUAUGAAAGUUAUAUUAAUUGUAAAUUAUUCGUAAGUUGUCUGAUAUGUCCGGUAAUGCCUAAUAACCUCGUUCUGGUAACGGUUUGGGGUUAGGGGGUGUUACAUGAUGCCUCCAUUAAAGAAGGUGGCACCAAAAAUCAAUAUAUAUAUAUAUAUAUCUUUCAUUUACCUCUAGAAAUAUGAGUGAAAAUAUGGUGGGGUGAAAAUCUAUACGGGUGUCGUCUUAGGAAGUGGCGGCAUCCAUUGACACUAUAGAAAUUAGGUCAUUUUUUAAACAAUCUGAUACUAAAAUUAUUUGCAUACUUUUUUUAAUAUUUUUAGAUUAUUUAUCUAAAAAGCCAUAACACUUUUUUUAUUAAAAAAUUUAAAAUAAUUAUCAAACUUGUUUAAAAUAUUAAAUGUUGAAAAUAAAAAUUUCCAAUCAUUUACUAAAUACAUCCUAAAAAAAAAAUUAAAUGUAUUAUUUUAAUUAAAAGUUGAUUUUUUAUUUGGGUUGCUUUAGAAGAAAAACCUGCAAAUAAUCGACUAAACUGCUUUAAAAAAAAAAGAGUUUUCUUCAAAAUCAAUUAAAUGGAAAUAUUUUUUUUAUUUGUUAUUUAUAAGAUCAAUCAUUUCAUUACAGUAUAUUUUAUUUAUAUUUCAUUUUAAUGAAAUUAAAAUUUUAAAUUAAAUAAAUAUUAUUUAAAAAAUAUCUUAAUUAAAUUAGUAUUAAUAUUAUUAUUAGUCAUGGAUUAGAAUGAGCAAGCGGUGGUACUAAACAUUUUAUGAAAAACAAUAGAAAUUAAAAAAAAAAUUUGAAAAGCGACGAAAGGUGCCGUUGUUGGCGAAUCUGACCAACUUCAAAAAUCAAAACACAUAGUAUUCCAUAUUGACACAUGUCUAUUUAAUCUCAUGCAUGCAAAACUUGUCCUCGUCUUCUCCCUUCUUAACUUUUUCCUUUCUCUUUGUAUCUCUUGUUGUCUCUUAGCUUGCACUAGUUCUUUAAAAAGAAAAGGAAGAAAAAAAAGGUGCUUGGGAGUGAGAAUCAUUGAAGGAAAAUGUGUGGGAUUUUAGCAGUUUUGGGUUGCUCUGAUGAUUCUCAGACUAAAAGGGCUCGAGUGCUGGAGCUUUCCCGCAGGUAAACAAUCUCUAGUUCUUACCACAUUUUCUUUUCCAUUUUGGGGUCUAUUCUCUUAGCCUAUUUUAAUGUUUGCCUUUAAAAUGGUUGAAUAAUCAUUUUCCAAACAGGUUUAAAUUAUGAUAAUUUUUUGUUAUUGCUUGCAAAGGCAAGGAGAAGAAAAAAAACAGGAAUAGUAAUUUAAAGAUAGAUCAUCUCCAAACUUGGAGGAGAACCCAUGCUAUGUGGAGUCUUGAAAACAGAGGACAAAGGAACUUCGAGGAGCCCAUGCUUUAACAUUCUAAAUCAAUCAUAUACAUAUGAAAAUGGAAAAGGAUUAUAUUAAACCGAGAACACACGUGAUCUUGUAUCUUUUACCGAUUGUUCAAUGUUAUACUAACAUUUUUUCUUCAUAGUAUUGAUACAUCAUUUUGGUAAUUCUUUUAAUUUGGAGUUUAGAUUCUGGACUCCAAACCAUAAAUCCUGAACCCUUGAUCCCAUAUUUUGAAUCCUAAACCUUAGAUCAUGGACCUUAAAUUUUGGACUUUAAAUACUGAACCUUAACUUUAAACUUUGAAUCUUGAAUCAUGAACCCUGAACCCUUUGAGGUUCAAGGUUUAGGAUUGAGAGUUUAGAUUACAAAAUUAUCAAAAUGACAUGUCAAUAACAUGAAAAAAAUAUUAAAAUAAAAUUAAAUAAUUAAUAAAAAAUACAAAAUGAUGUAAGGUCCCUAUUUUAUGCAAUUCUUUCUCAUAAAAAUGAGAAAAAUAAUUUCCUUUAAAUUUAACAUUCGCGGUGCUUAGUUACUGGUAUCAACGUCGGCUAUCGGCCGAAAUUUAACAAGAAUAUGGAAAAACUAAUAGCUUAAAUAGAGAGUAAAUAAUAAGCUGAAAUAUAUAUAAUAAUUGGAUGGUGUGUGAACAGAUUGAAGCACCGUGGUCCUGAUUGGAGUGGACUCUACCAACACGGAGACUGCUAUUUGGCCCAUCAACGCCUUGCCAUCGUUGAUCCUAAUUCAGGUGACCAACCUCUCUUUAAUGAAGACAAGAGUGUUGCUGUCACUGUAAGCCUCUCUCUCUAUGUUUCAAUAGUUGUACAUCUUCAGCCUAUAUAUGAUGACUCAUUUUUAACUUUUCAAAAAUUUAAGGGCUAAUUUAUGUGGUGAAAACUAGGUGAAUGGGGAGAUUUACAACCACGAACAACUGAGGAAGAAGUUGGUAAACCACAAAUUCAGGUCUGGCAGUGAUUGUGAUGUUAUUGCCUAUCUGGUAAAACUCCCCAUUGCGAAACUUUUGAGGGAUACAACUGAUUUGGGGUGCAAUUUUUUCAAAUAUAAAAAUUGUUUCUUAAACUUGUACUAUAUUACAGUAUGAGGAGUAUGGGGAAGACUUUGUGGACAUGUUGGAUGGAAUCUUCUCAUUUGUGUUGCUAGAUGCCCGUGACAAUAGCUUCAUUGUUGCUCGUGAUGCUAUUGGGAUCACCUCCCUCUAUAUCGGCUGGGGCCUUGAUGGUAUUACAUCUUGCUUUCUCUAAUAGAAUUUAUUUUAGUUAGCCGUUGUUUUACGAUUUUGACACUCUUCAGUUCACUACUGAUAUUUAUAGUAAUUGACCGCUCGCGAUAGAAAAUGUAUGUGGGGCUUUGAGGAGACUGGUUUUGCUAAGUUGUUUUACUUGUUAUAUAUAUUCAGGUUCGAUUUGGGUAUCAUCAGAGUUGAAAGGAUUGAAUGAUGCUUGUGAACAGUUUGAGAGCUUUCCGCCUGGACACAUGUACACUAGCAAAUCAAGAGGACUCAGGAGGUGGUACAAUCCACUCUGGUUCUCUGACUCUAUUCCAUCGGUUCCAUAUGAUCCGUUUGUUCUCAGACAUGCACUUGAGAAUGUAAGAAUGAAGAGUUGCUAUCUGAAAAACAUUGGACACCUACAUUAAACCAAGAAACAAUUUUUUGUUCUUUGGCUUUCUGUAAGUUUAUCUUACGUGUUAUAUGUGAUAUAUUUGUAGGCUGUGAUCAAAAGGCUAAUGACUGAUUUCCCUUUUGGAGUUUUGCUAUCCGGAGGCCUUGAUUCUUCAUUGAUUACUUCUAUAACGGCUCGGUACUUGGCUGCUACCAAGGCUGCCAAACACGGGGGAAAGCUCCAUUCUUUCUGUAUCGGCCUAGAGGUAGUCUAAUAGUAUAGGAUGAAUCCUUUCAAGUACAGCUUUAAAGGAUUCAGUUGGUCUUAAAAUUUGCUUAUCGAUAUCUCUGCAGGGUUCACCCGAUUUGAAAGCUGCAAGGGAGGCUGCAGAUUAUUUGGGCACUGUCCAUCAUGAGUUUCACUUCACCGUUCAAGUACUGACCCAAGAUUUAGUAUUAGUUUUAAUUCAAGCAUGGGCAUCUAACUUUGCUAAUUUUCACUCCGAUGUGGCAGGAUGGAAUUGAUGCGAUUGAAGAUGUUAUCUACCACAUUGAAACCUAUGAUGUGACCACAAUCAGGGCAAGCACUCCUAUGUUUUUGAUGGCACGGAAGAUCAAAUCACUAGGAGUGAAGAUGCUUAUUUCUGGUGAAGGAGCCGAUGAGGUUUUUGGUGGAUAUUUGUAUUUCCACAAGGCACCAAAUAAGGAAGAAUUCCACCGUGAAACUUGCCGCAAGGUACUUGGUAGUCACCACUUCAAUUACCACCAUUGGAAUCCGAAAGCAAUGAUUUAACAGAAACCUAGUUUUUUUUUUUUUUUGGAUACAUUUGUCCAGAUCAAAGCACUUCAUCAGUAUGAUUGCCUGAGAGCUAACAAAGCAACAUCAGCUUGGGGAUUGGAGGUUCGAGUACCUUUCUUAGACAAAGAAUUUCUCAACGUUGCCAUGUCUAUAGACCCCAAAUCAAAGAUGGUAUGUAAACAAGUAUUAUUUUUAGUAAAAAGGACCAGCAUAUUGUUCCUAGAAAAGCUUGGUUUGUUCAUCAAUGGGAGAGAUUUAGACUGAUCAAGAAAGCUUCUCCAUGUUAUGAAUCAGAUCAAAAAGGAUGAAGGACGCAUUGAGAAGUGGGUUCUUAGAAAGGCAUUUGAUGAUGAGGAGUGUCCAUAUCUGCCUAAGGUCAUAUAACAUCUUUUUUAUUUCUUAAUUUUAGAGUUAGUACCCAAAUAAACUCUCCUCUUCUAUUUGAUGCCCUGCAGCAUAUCUUGUAUCGACAGAAAGAACAAUUUAGUGAUGGCGUUGGUUAUAGUUGGAUCGAUGGUCUUAAGGCGCAUGCUGCGGAUCAUGUAAAAACUGCCUUCUUAUUGCUUUCAAUUGAAUAACUAUCUAUCAUUUCCAUUUGUUGAUAAAUUCUAACCUACCUUAUACUUUCAGGUGAGUGAUAAGAUGAUGGUUAAUGCUUCUUGUAUCUUUCCUCACAACACCCCGAAGACAAAAGAAGCAUAUUACUACAGGAUGAUUUUCGAGAGAUUCUUCCCUCAGGUGAUUUCUGGUUUGAAGUCUUUAACUUUGUCAAUAGCAUCUGAUUGCUGAAGUGAUCAUCCUUAUUUGCUGGUUUUAACAGAACUCGGCUAGAUUGACAGUCCCUGGAGGAGCUAGCGUGGCAUGCAGCACUGCUAAAGCUGUUGAGUGGGAUGUUGCCUGGAAGAACAACCUUGAUCCUUCAGGGAGGGCUGCCCUGGGAGUCCAUCUCUCAGCUUACGCAAUGUGCAAAUCUCCUGUCCUUUAGACCUUAAUUUUUUAUUCGACCAACUCGAGUCUAGGUACUUCAACUAAUUUCGCAAUUAGGGUUGGUUAUCUCAUCUUUAAAUUAGGGGCGUUUGUUAUGAGAACUUUGUUAGAGCUUUCUAUUCCAAAAUUAAGUUUAGCUAUGACGAUGAUAGUUUAACUUUCAUUUUCGUCAGUUCUUUUGUUAUGGGUGGAGAUGUUGAUAUAUUUGUUUCCUUCUUUGCGAGACAUCUUUCCAUUCCUAACAAGGGUGACGGUAACAGUUAUGGCGGAUGGCCUAUUCUCUCCGGACCUUAUCUAACCUAACAAAUAUGUCGUUGACCUUAAUUUGCACGAUAGGAUUCUUCAUCUUAUUUUUACUUGGAUAAUGGUCCCUACCAACAAGCAUUACGAUAAUUGGAUACAGCAUUGCUUUCACAUCAACCGUCACUUUGACUUAGUUUUAGUUAUUUUUCUUAACAUUGUCAACAUCAUCCGUUUUUCUGUGUCUAGUAACAAAACGCUUAGGUAUGGAACUUUCUUUUCCAAUAUUUUUCGAGCCUUGAAGUUAAAAGUCCAUGUUGAUCUCGGUCGAGCUAGUACCUUUUAUUUCGAUAUAUCGGCUUCUUAUAGUUGUGGUUGGAUUAAACGCGAUAGUUAAUGGAUUCACAACCCCGAUUGUGUUGGUCAAUAAGCACAAGGAGCGACUGCUGAUCAACAGGAGGAAGGCGUGUCACGUGAAGAUGAUCCUCCGCCUCCGAGAAUGUAUAUUCCCGCUUUGAUGGCUCCUUUGUCUCCUUGUACCCUUAGUCUUUUUGCUGCUAUACAUGGGUUUCUCUCCGUGUUAAUGCUCAGUUUGAUGUAUUAAUCAUCUAUGUUAAUGAUCGGUACAAUUUUUUGGAUGACCAUAUCUCGGACGUUGCCCAUCGGUUCCCUGAACUUUUGGACGCUUGGCUUAAUACUCUUAGUAGUUGUUUGAUUAGAAUGUUUGUUACUUAGAUUGUUUAUUUCUACUUUGAAUGAUACUAUGUUAUGUCUCUAUUUUUCUUUUAAUGUUAUAUGCAUGUUACUAUGGAGAUGUAUAUAUAUAUAUAUUUCUAAUAUGAUUGUGAUGUGUUUUUUUA
rnacentral:lncRNA from 1 species